ACUUCUCCAGGUUGACCUCAGAUCAGGUAGGAAUACCCGCUGAACUUAAGCAUAUC
rnacentral:rRNA from 1 species